UAUCGUCGGUCUAGCUAAGCCCAAUAGUAGAGAUGGCCAACGGAUCGAUGGCUCUGAGUCGUCUCCAGCUCCUCAAGCCUCCGCAUCCCUCUCUAUCAUUUCUCCCCACCAUCUCAUCUCCUCCUCCUCGGCUCCUUUCCCCGUCCUGCUCGCUCGCCAAGAGCUUCUCCGCCCGUCGUCUCUUCUGCUCCAAAUCAGAUGGGCCGCUCGAGGAUUCGGGCGCGGGGGAGAGCUCUCCUUCUAUAGUGGGCGAUCUUCUGGAUUACCUCAACGAAUCUUGGACUCAGUUCCACGCCACUGCUGAAGCGAAAAGGCAACUGAUCGCAGCUGGAUUCCGUUUGCUAAAUGAGAAUGAUGAUUGGGAUCUGCAGCCGGGAGGGCGCUACUUCUUCACGCGGAACAUGUCCUCUUUGGUUGCCUUUGCAGUCGGAGAAAAAUACAAUGUUGGCAGUGGGUUUCAUGUAAUUGCUGCUCACACAGAUAGCCCAUGCUUGAAACUGAAGCCCAGGUCUGCAUCCUCCAAGUCUGGGUUUCUAAUGGUAAAUGUGCAGACAUAUGGAUCAGGCUUAUGGCACACGUGGUUUGAUAGAGAUCUAAGUGUAGCUGGAAGAGUUAUCCUAAAAGCUAGCGAUGGUUCCUAUGUGCAUAAGCUUGUCAAAGUGAGGAGACCUUUACUGCGUAUACCAACAUUGGCCAUACAUCUUGACCGCACAGUGAACACAGAAGGUUUCAAACCAAACUUUGAGAGUCAUCUUGUUCCACUUCUGGCAACAAAACUUGAGGCACAAGUGAAAUCUGAAGAAAAAAAGUCUUCAUCAAUCUCUUCAAAAGGUGUUCAUCAUUCACUGCUGUUGCAGGUGUUAUCUGAGGAACUUGGAUGCAAUGUUGAUGAAAUAAUGGGUACAGAGUUAAAUGUUUGCGAUACACAGCCUAGCUGUCUUGGAGGUGGAAAUAAUGAAUUUAUCUUCUCUGGUAGACUUGACAAUCUUGCUUCGAGUUAUUGUGCACUCAGAUCUCUUCUGGACUCAUGUAAGUCUCCCGGAGCUUUAGCCAAUGAGCAGGCUAUCAGAAUGGUUGCUUUAUUUGAUAAUGAAGAGGUGGGAUCAAACUCAAUACAAGGAGCAGGCGCACCAACCAUGUUCCAGGCCAUGAGACGCAUUGUUGGUUGCUUAGCUCAGGAGUACAUAGGAGAGGGUGCUUUUGAACGUGCAAUACGCUCGUCUUUUCUUGUGUCCGCCGACAUGGCACAUGGUCUGCACCCAAACUUUUCAGAUAAAUAUGAAGAACACCACAGGCCAGAGCUACAAAAGGGGCUUGUUGUCAAACAUAAUGCUAACCAGCGCUAUGCCACGAGUGCAGUAACUGCCUUUCUUUUCAAGGAAGUGGCAAAUAUUCAUAACCUUCCAGUUCAGGAAUUUGUUGUAAGAAAUGAUAUGGGAUGUGGAUCUACUAUAGGCCCCAUACUUGCUUCUGGGGUUGGUAUCCGAACUGUAGAUUGUGGCAUUCCUCAGCUCUCCAUGCACAGGGCUCAAGUUGGCCGUUGAUGGGACGCCAAACUCAAGAGCACAUGACAUAUACUAGCUCGGAGUCAACCGGGGCGUACGGAUUGAUCAUGGGUCAUGUCUCUCUGUCUCUCUGAUGUAGUUUCAUGGUCGACCCUUAUCUCUCUUUCUUUCUCUGGACUCUCCUUUUCUUCUUGCAGGAGACGGUGGCCUUUUUUUUUUUUUUUUCGCUAAAAGAGACGGUGGCCUUUGUUAUGUUUAAGAAACACAAUGACCUCACGUCGAAUCCAUCGCAUCUGUCUCUGACUCGAAAUCACCCAUCAGCCUUUUAAAUCUCAGAGUGGAGAUUACUACAUCUCUUUAGGGAUCCGGUUUGAAAAGUCCGUAAUUAUAACGAGGACGGCUUUGGAAAGCCAACGGGCAUCUACCAAUUAUUCCCACUGCCGGGCAGCCUUAAUUAAUUCUUCCUACCAUUACACUGCAAGGUUUCCUUUGUUUUGAUCCCACCGUACACUAGGGAUUAUGAACUGUUCACAGGAAGAUCGUGCAUCAGAUGGUCUGUGAUAGCCUGUUUCAGUCUCCCUGAAGCUUGCCCAUCCAGAUUUUAGUUGCAUCAUUGGUGAGGUGGCUAGACAAACUAAGCCAUUUCUAUCCCAACUGCCAAACACCUGCAUUCCAUUUGAUUGAAGCCGUCCCCUUACUAUGUAUGAUAUCUGAUGGGGAAAAACUUCAGAUUAUUGCAUGUUGUAAUGUUUAGGUAGGAGCCCUGAGGGUUGUGAUAGAGCUUCUUCGACUGUUAUUACUUCGGUUGUUCGUGCUUAAUUUGCCUGUGGUCCAAGCACGUAGAUUAGCCAUUUAGCCUUAAUUUUAUAUUUAGACAGUCAGUUUAUCAGCUUAAUUACCCUUCUUGUUUUUCUUACCGGAAACAUUGACCUUGCAACACCAGAAAUCUCCUCAUAGCUUUUGAAAUUUAGCAUGAUAAGGAGCCAGUUUGACAAACAUAUUUAUGUUAAUUCAGAAGUGUGGAAAUGAUUCGACGCCUACCAAACUGAGGUAAACAGAAGCAGAACUUGGAGCAGGAUUCUGGUGGCUACUUGUUCUGUAACGUAGAGACAUCUGAAGUUAGACUUAGGGAAAAAGUAGCUAAAUUUUCAAGCGUGCGGGAGGUAUGUGGCAAAGAAGAUGUGGAUAUCGCUUACAAACAUUUCCUGGCCUUCUUCCAAUCUUUCUCUGACAUCGAUGGGAAGCUAAGCGUGGAUUUUUAGGUGAUAUCACAGCUUUGCUUCGCGGUGUUGUUUCAAAACUAUUCUUAGCUGCGGUAAAAUCGAGCUGUUUAAGCAUUUAGCAUGUGGAUUUUCGUUCCUGUUGGCACCGUUUCAUAUGGAAAGAAAGAAGAAAUUCUAGGAGCAAAGCUAGAUUUGAUUA